UGCGCAGCGCGUGGCGCAGAACGAUGUUUGGAAAACUCACCCCCUUAAGGCGUGCAGUCCGGAUGUAUUGGGCCGUCAUCACUUCGGUCAUGGAGGCGCGUGUCAUCCGGGCGAUAUAGCCCAUGCCAUAGAGCGCGAUGGUCAGUACCGGCAGGAAGAAAUUCUCAAACGUCGGGUUC
rnacentral:ncRNA from 1 species